rnacentral:snRNA from 1 species
AAACUAAUUGGAUACGUCAU